rnacentral:rRNA from 1 species
CCNGAAAACUCACCAUAGCCGACGGACAAAUGAAGGUCAGUGUAAUGAACUUACCGGAUUGUUCGAGAGGUAGUGCAUGGCCGCCGUCAGUUCGUACCGUAAGGCGUUCUGUUAAGUCAGAUAACGAACGAGACCCUCAUCUCUAUUUGCCACCAGAUCUCCGGAUCUGACGGGACUAUAGAGAGACCGCUGGCGCUAAGUCAGAGGAAGGGGAGGGCAACGGUAGGUCAGUAUGCUCCGAAUGCUAUGGGCUACACGCGCAAUACAAAGGACGGGACAAUGGGCUGCUACUCCGAAAGGAAUGACGCUAUCCCGAAACCCGUUCGUAGUUCGGAUUGAGGGCUGUAACUCGCCCUCAUGAAGCUGGAUUAGGUAGUAAUCGCGUCUCAAUAAGGCGCGGUGAAUAUGCCCCUGCUCCUUGCACACACCGCCCGUCAAACCAUCUU